GUCCGUGUGUGUGAACCGCUCAUCCCUUGCAUACCUGCUCCUUCCCUCUUCCUCUGGAUAUGUAUACAUAUAUGAUGUGUUUAUAUAUGUAUAUGCGCAUUCUCAGCUUUUCGUUGUUUUGUUUUUUUAAUUUUUUAGUGACGUGCACUGCUGGAUUUUCUCAGGCUGAUUUUCUCACAGGGGAGAAUACUCCUCUUUUUUUUGUUGUUGUUGUUGUUUUGGUUUUUAAGCGGCUGCGGCAUCCCAGCACCUGUUUUUCCCUUCCUGCAUGCGUGAAAACCUUCCUACCUGCCUACCUCUCCCCUAAACCCCCUCCACCCCACCCCCAGAACAUCUCCCCUUGCAAUCCCGCUCUCCAGCCCCCAGGAAAAGGAGCUUCAGCUGGGGCAGAUAGCUUCGGCAGGACCCCCUGUUCACCCUUGGAUGGAGAAUAGCGAGAACUGACGGAAUUAAGAGAACAGUAAAAACCAGGAUAUACGCUUGUUUUUUCUCUGCUAGGGCGAGAAUGUGAGGAAAAAGAACGAAGCUAAAGAUAAUUUGCUGCUUAAUGUCAAUAGUUUUGAAGAAAUAGACUGUGCUUCGUGCUACUGGGUAAUUGUUGUAUGUGAUCUGAUGCUUGUGGCUGUAACUGAUGUGUUUUGAAAUAUUAUUAUUAUUAUUAUUAUUUUCCAAAAUACAUGUACAUGUUCUCUGUAACGUAUGCAUUUAUCAGCUUCAAUGUCAUUGUCAGCUUCAACUCAUUUUAUGUGAUGUGAUUUUUACUGUAUUUGUUUUUACUUGCCGUAUAGGUGCUCAUAUGCUGAGAGAGAGUGAGAGAAAUAAAAGACAGAGAGAGAGGUGGGGAGAGAGGGGGAGAGAACAGACUGUCAUAGGGAAGCGCUAGCUUUACAUUGUGAUGCUGGCAGCCGUCUCAUCAUGGCGGUAGACGUGCUGAAUGGACGAGGGGGAGAGCAGAGCAUAGCUUUGCAUCUUCACUUAUCCUUCACGCAUUGCUUUGCUGGUCCUCUUUGUUUGGCCGAGAGAGGGAAAAGGUCUAAUGGAAUGAAACAGAAGGCAAGGUGCCAGGGCUUCUUGCAGAAUGUGUACAACAAAAGGUAGAUCCUCUUUAUCUCUCUCUCUCUAUCCCUCUCUCUCUCUUGUAAUUUUUCAGGAAAUGUAUUCGGUACAGAGUCCAGCUAGAAUUGUGGGUUAGGUCUGAAUGUUUUUAAAAGGGAUCUUUUUGUGUAUGUGUGUAAAAUAUGACCAUGAGAAACACUGUGUUGCACUGUCAUGUAUGUUUUGUCCUUAACACACAUCUAGGCCAAUCGAAGAGGAGAAUAAUGCAAUUGAAAUCUUGCAGGCACAGGGAGAAUCCUCGGAAAGAUGUGCGAUAGUGCGUUUGUAAGUGUUUGUGAGUGUGUGAGUGUGAUUGUGCACGAUUAGUACUUCUUGUUUGGACUGCACUAACACCAGCGAAGCCCACAUCAGAUGCAGAAGGAGGAGGACAGGUGAGAAGGAAGGAAUUUUAGAUGAGUACGGAAACAUGGUAUUGUACUGAAGGACAACAACAGACUAUGAAGAAUGCAUAGGGACCAAAUACAGAACCGGCAGAGAUACUGAAGUGCACGACUGAACCGUUAGCCAUGAAAACAGACCAGACUGCAGAAACAGACUGAACGGAGAGAGUUUGUAGGAAAAGACAAAGUGGACGACGUUCGGAAACUUGGGUUUUUGCUCUUUGUGUUCACAGUGGACCUUGAUUUAAUUUCAAUACAAUUAAGGCACGCGGUGAAUGCCAAGAGAGAAGCCAACAGCAGCACUCACCUGAGCGACCGAUCGACGGGACAAAGUCAUGUUUAGUAUGGACACUAUGGUUGCAUACUAGACAUCAUGUGUGCACAAUAAAACAAAAACACUGCACCAUCACACUGCCAACCCCUAUCUGAUAUCAUGCAACCAGCUAAUCCCUUUAAACAUGCCAAACACUUAAGUGGACCAUCGAAUAUUCAUUAAAUUAAACAAAAACACAUGAACACGGGCCUAAUAUGCAUAUAAUGAUUAAGGCAUGGCUGUAUCUCUUCCAAACCAUGAGAUUAUAUUAAGUGGCAAUGCUGUGCAAAAAUCGAAAAAUGCAAAGGUUGCAUUAUGACCUACAUUUCACAACACAAGCCAUCAUUACAAGCAAUGGAGUGUAAUAUGCAAACACAGUGUAGUGGGUAUGGGAUUAAGGGCUUUAAACAUCACCCAUAAAAUUUGUGCAGAUUUUUUUUAAAGACUAUAAUAUUUCACAAUUCUCUCAUUUCUUACACCACUGCCCAAACCAUGUGACGCAGCGAAUUAAGAGUAAGAUCAGGCGCCUGUUGCAAUUAACUACUUAAGUUAAGAAAAUCUUAACUAGGGUAUUAUUAAGGUUUGUUACAACCUGCUACUGCCCAUUUUAAACAGGAGAAGAGUACAAACACCAACACACAAGGCCUUAUGUACCCUGUACCCUAGUUAGGAUUUACCCUAAGAUUUACCUAAUACCCUAGAUAAACAACGUCACGUUCCUGCCAUUCAAAUCAAGCUGGCAGUAAUAAAUCACCUAUCUGCUCUAGGCACGUGGCGCAGAUGUUUAGAGGGGUCAAAGUUUACGUAUUUAUUUAUGACUAAUGAUGAAUUUUACUCACAAAAGAAAGGCAAAGAGGGUCUGGAAUGAGGCGCUGCCCCUUAGGCUAAAUUUCCGUCGAUGGAACACAACUGAGAAGACAAUAAAAGCAAAUAUUAAUCACUCUGACAGUCAUUCAGAUUGCAUAUGACGUUGCUGGUGUUGAAUUGUAAGCUUAUAUAGAUUUACAACGAGUGUUUUUCAAACAAACCUUUGAGACGUAUUCAUUUUUUUCCACACUUCCAUAUUUGUUCUUAUGACGACUUCAAAUCUUGAUCACCACGAAGGACCAUUUUGCACAACAGCAUUGCAUUUUUGCAUGAUAAAAAAAAUAUUUUACAAUUGCAGUGUGAUUUAGAGGAACGUUAUCUUAGACUUUAACCAUGUUGAGGUUACGUGCUACACUCGAUUCUGCAAACCCAUAACGAUCAGGAAUAAGUUAAAUAUUUUUGACGUAUAACAAUUGUAUUUUGUAUAAAAGAAUAAUGGAUUAUUAUAAAACGAGAAGCAUUUGAAUUAAAACAUUUCAACAAUAGCCUAAAAUUUUAGUGUGUCUAGCUAUUAUGUCUCUGGAAAAACAUAUUUACAAAUAAUACGAAUUGAAUUAAUUAAUUGUUUUUAUUUAUUUAUUUAGCCCUAUAGUAUUUCAAAAUCCUCUACAAGGAGAAAUAAAAAACAGAGAUAUGACAAAUAUGCGUGAGGAUUAGCAAAUGUAAAACAUCUUAAUAUAAUUUUAAAUUAAGAGCAAAUUACAAUUAAUAAAUGUUUUAAAUAAAUUAAUUUUGAUGAUUUCUUUGUUAUAUAAAUAAAUAUACAAAUAGCCAAUGCUUAUAAAGAGAAGGAUCAUUUAAAU